UACGUAGGGGGCAAGCGUUGUCCGGAUUUAUUGGGCGUAAAGAGCGUGUAGGCGGCCGUACAGGUCAGCUGUGAAAACUCGAGGCUCAACCUCGAGACGUCGGUUGAAACCGUACGGCUAGAGUCCGGAAGAGGAGAGUGGAAUUCCCGGUGUAGCGGUGAAAUGCGUAGAUAUCUGGAGGAACACCGGUGGCGAAGGCGGCAUCCUGGACCAACACUGACACUGAGGAGCGAAAGCCAGGGGAGCAAACGGG
rnacentral:rRNA from 1 species